CAGAGUCAGAAGCGGCAGAAACAGAACCUCAGGAAAGAUACCACACCCUGCCGGUAUGUCACUCAGCUAGGAGAAAGUCGACAGGAAGCCUCUUCAAAAUGUUUGAGAGACACUGGCUGCUCUUCUGAGGACCUAGAUUCAACUCCAGCACCCACGUGGUAGCGUACAACUAACUCCUGCCCCUUCUUCCUAUCUCCACGUGUAUGACACAGCAGGGCGUGGUAGGAUGCCACAUCCUUCUGUAGCUGGCUCUUGCACGCCAGCAGGUGUGCCCGCUCCUGCUGCUGCUGUUCUGUCUCUGAGCGGAUCUCUGCCAGCUCUGCCUCCAGCCUGCCCACUACCGCACCCAGGUUCUGCAGUUCCAUGUCAUGCCAGUGCUGGGCGUCAUGCAAGCUGUUUUCCAGGCCUCGUUUCUACAAAAGAGUGAAGGUUAUCGGCUUGGGCGGUCCAGACAGGGUCUCACUGUAUAGCUCUGGCCACUUACUCUGUAGACCAGACUGGCUUCAAACUCACAGAGCUCCCUCUGCCUGCCAAGCUGCUGGGA
rnacentral:lncRNA from 1 species